UACGUAGGUGGCAAGCGUUGUCCGGAUUUACUGGGCGUAAAGAGCGCGCAGGCGGUCGUUCAAGUCGCGUGUGAAAGCCCCCGGCUCAACUGGGGAGGGUCACGCGAUACUGACCGACUCGAAGGCAGGAGAGGGAAGUGGAAUUCCCGGUGUAGUGGUGAAAUGCGUAGAUAUCGGGAGGAACACCAGUGGCGAAGGCGACUUCCUGGCCUGUUCUUGACGCUGAGGCGCGAAAGCGUGGGGAGCAAACAGG
rnacentral:rRNA from 1 species